rnacentral:rRNA from 1 species
GACGAACGCUGGCGGCGUGCUUAACACAUGCAAGUCGAACGGAAAGGCCCUGCUUUUGUGGGGUGCUCGAGUGGCGAACGGGUGAGUAACACGUGAGUAACCUGCCCUUGACUUUGGGAUAACUUCAGGAAACUGGGGCUAAUACCGGAUAGGAGCUCCUGCUGCAUGGUGGUGGUUGGAAAGUUUCGGCGGUUGGGGAUGUACUCGCGGCUUAUCAGCUUGUUGGUGGGGUAGUGGCUUACCAAGGCUUUGACGGGUAGCCGGCAUGAGAGGGUGACCGGGGACCUUGGGACUGCGGUACGGCGCAGAGUCGUACGGGAGGCAGUGGUGGGGAAUAUUGUACAGUGGGGGCGCGUGUGAUGCAGCAACGCCGCGUGCGGGAUGCAGGUCUUCGGGUUGUAAACCGCUUUCACCUGUGACCAAGCGUGAGUGACGGUAAUAGGUAAAGAAGCACCGGCUAACUACGUG